UGCCCUUGAGGCGUGGCUUCCGGAGCUAACGCGUUAAGUCGACCGCCUGGGGAGUACGGCCGCAAGGUUAAAACUCAAAUGAAUUGACGGGGGCCCGCACAAGCGGUGGAGCAUGUGGUUUAAUUCGAUGCAACGCGAAGAACCUUACCUGGUCUUGACAUCCACAGAAUCUUGUAGAGAUACGAGGGUGCCUUCGGGAACUGUGAGACAGGUGCUGCAUGGCUGUCGUCAGCUCGUGUUGUGAAAUGUUGGGUUAAGUCCCGCAACGAGCGCAACCCUUAUCCUUUGUUGCCAGCGGUCCGGCCGGGAACUCAAAGGAGACUGCCAGUGAUAAACUGGAGGAAGGUGGGGAUGACGUCAAGUCAUCAUGGCCCUUACGACCAGGGCUACACACGUGCUACAAUGGCGCAUACAAAGAGAAGCGACCUCGCGAGAGCAAGCGGACCUCAUAAAGUGCGUCGUAGUCCGGAUUGGAGUCUGCAACUCGACUCCAUGAAGUCGGAAUCGCUAGUAAUCGUGGAUCAGAAUGCCACGGUGAAUACGUUCCCGGGCCUUGUACACACCGCCCGUCACACCAUGGGAGUGGGUUGCAAAAGAAGUAGGUAGCUUAACCUUCGGGAGGGCGCUUACCACUUUGUGAUUCAUGACUGGGGUGAAGUCGUAACAAGGUAACCGUAGGGGAACCUGCGGUUG
rnacentral:rRNA from 1 species